AAACAAACGAAAGCUACCGAGAAUUCUCUCGCGAUUCUUUUGGAGGGCUACGGUGGAUUGAUGGUUGUUCAUGGAUAUGCAUGCAGGAAAUGUCAUGACAGAGUGAAGAGGAUUCACACAUCAACGAAAGACUUCUGGGACAUGUGUCAAGAAUCAAGCAAAUCAACUAAAACAAAACGAUGUGCAUCCUCACCCCUGACUCCUUCAGUGUCCAAUGAACCCAUGAUUUCUAACCACAGAAAAGUACAGAGACGACUAAUUAUGUCUGCUGAGGAACAUACU